rnacentral:lncRNA from 1 species
GAAUAGAUGAAUACAGAGUAAGAAAGAGAGAGAGUUUGCUGUAUCAAGAAUAUUCAAGUAGAAUAAUUAGCUGUGGCAUAAGCAAAACAAUAAACAUAACUGUUUCUUGAAAUCUCAUCUGAUACUGUGGGAUGCUGUUCCUAAAGCACUACUGAACAGUAACCUCUGUUACUCAGAAACCCAAGAAAAACCCAAAAGCCAUGUAUUGGGGCAAAUUAAAACCACAGAAUAAAUUAUUUUCCUAAUAAUGAGGAUAUUGUUUUCCUCUGCCAACUCCUUCCCAGAGCACCACUUUAUUUGCCAGUUUGAACAAAGCAAC